rnacentral:rRNA from 1 species
GACGAACCGUGCGAACGUUAUUCGGAAUCACUGGGCUUAAAGCGCGUGUAGGCGGGAGGGCACGUCCGUCGCUGAAAUCCCCCGGCUCAACCGGGGAACGGGCGCGGAUACGACCUUCCUUGAGGGGCGUAGGGGGACCUGGAACUUCCGGUGGAGCGGUGAAAUGCGUUGAGAUGUGGAGGAAUACCGAUGGCGAAGGCAGCCCCCUGGGCCAACACUGACGCUCAUGCACGAAAGCGUGGGGAGCAAACAGG